AACUUGAAACCGUGUGCUUACAAGUAGUCAGAGCCCGUUAAUGGGUGAUGGCGUGCCUUUUGUAGAAUGAACCGGCGAGUUACGAUCUGAUGCAAGGUUAAGCAGAAAAUGUGGAGCCGUAGCGAAAGCGAGUCUGAAUAGGGCGUAUAGUAUUUGGUCGUAGACCCGAAACCAGGUGAUCUACCCAUGGUCAGGUUGAAGUUCAGGUAACACUGAAUGGAGGACCGAACCGACUUACGUUGAAAAGUGAGCGGAUGAACUGUGGGUAGCGGAGAAAUUCCAAUCGAACUUGG
rnacentral:rRNA from 1 species